rnacentral:rRNA from 1 species
CUCGCAGGCGGUUUCUUAAGUCUGAUGUGAAAGCCCCCGGCUCAACCGGGGAGGGUCAUUGGAAACUGGGGAACUUGAGUGCAGAAGAGGAGAGUGGAAUUCCACGUGUAGCGGUGAAAUGCGUAGAGAUGUGGAGGAACACCAGUGGCGAAGGCGACUCUCUGGUCUGUAACUGACGCUGAGGAGCGAAAGCGUGGGGAGCGAACA